CUACGGGCGGCUGCAGUGAGGAAUAUUGGUCAAUGGGCGCAAGCCUGAACCAGCCAUCCCGCGUGGAGGAAGACGGCCCUAUGGGUUGUAAACUCCUUUUAUAAGGGAAGAAUAUACGUAUCGUGAUAUGUUUUGACGGUACCUUAUGAAUAAGCAUCGGCUAACUCCGUGCCAGCAGCCGCGGUAAUACGGAGGAUGCAAGCGUUAUCCGGAUUCAUUGGGUUUAAAGGGGUGCGCAGGCGGGCAAAUAAGUCAGUGGUGAAAUCUUAAGGCUCAACCGUGAAACUGCCAGUGAUACUGGUAAUCUUGAGUACGGCCGAGGUAGGCGGAAUGUGGAAUGUAGCGGUGAAAUGCUUAGAUAUUACAAAGAACACCAAUUGCGUAGGCAGGUUACUAGACCGUAACUGACGCUGAGGCACGAAAGCGUGGGUAGCGAACAGGAUUAGAUACCCGUGUAGUC
rnacentral:rRNA from 1 species